CAGUAGCCACGGUAAUACGAAGGGUGCAAGCGUUAAUCGGAAUUACUGGGCGUAAAGCGUGCGUAGGCGGUGAGUUAAGUCUGCUGUGAAAUCCCCGGGCUCAACCUGGGAAUGGCAGUGGAUACUGGCUCGCUAGAGUGUGUCAGAGGAUGGUGGAAUUCCCGGUGUAGCGGUGAAAUGCGUAGAGAUCGGGAGGAACAUCAGUGGCGAAGGCGGCCAUCUGGGACAACACUGACGCUGAGGCACGAAAGCGUGGGGAGCAAACAGGAUUAGAUACCCCCGUAGUCCCUGUCUCUUAUAU
rnacentral:rRNA from 1 species